ACCUAGCUCAGUUGGUAGAGCAUGAGAUUCUUAAUCUCAGGGUUGUGGGUUCAAGCCCCACGUUGGGCA